GGCUUGGAUUGUAUUAUCCUGCAUGGCAGGGGGUUGUACUGGUUGACUCUUGGGGUCUCUUCCAACUCCAUGAUUCGAAUGCCUGAAUCCUGAGCCCCACAGCAUCUCUCUUUAUGUCUCUGUGCUUGAAGGCAUGUUCUUGAAUGCAUAGGCUCCUCCCAGUUGGGCCAAGGCAAAGACAGCCCUCCUUCCCUUUAGUCCCCCCUUCCUUGCCCAAAGCCCUCUGUCCAUAAAGGGGGAAGAUCUGCCUGUGCUGUCACACAAGGCGGGGGCUCCAGGCUGUGCGCUGUGUGCGGCUCUCUUUCCUUGUGGCAAGCGGUGCCUGCAAGUGAUGCUCUUCCAGCCUCUCUCUUAGGCUGCGGUACUAUACAGGGGAGGGGAGAGGGAGCUUUUCCUCCUAUUCAGCAUUCUGUGCAUCCAGUUGGCUCAGAAGGAGAGCAGAAGAGACUGCCGUGGUGGCACUCGGAUCUUGUUCAGGGACAAGGAAGGAAGGAAGGAUACAAAGGAGGAGAAAGCAAGCCUUGGAAGCAGCUGGAAAGAUUGAGCCCAAGGAAGGUCGUAUUUCCAGAAUCUCACAGCAACAUGGAGAACUCAUUUUCCUGCUGAGGGAUGAAAAACACCUGAAGAAGCACUGAAUGCAACAGGUUUCAAAAGUAAAACCUCAGAAGAAGAAAAGUGCAUAAAUGUGUGAAUGAAAACGACUUGGGUGGAAUUCAUUGUACCAUCAUCCACCUUGGGAAGAACCGACUCAUUCUAUCAAUCAAGGACUUUUGAAUGGGAACUUGGUGGUCCUUCUAAGAGCAACGUGAAUUCCUAGCUGGUUUCUGGCUGCAAUGUUUUGAAAUGUCGUAAAUUAACUAUCCAUAAAAAAAACCCUGAAAGAUGGUUCCAAUUUUUUAGUGGAGAAGGUUGGGAUAUGCAUGCUUUGUAGCGCAUCAACCUCUCCAAGUUGUUCUUGUACGCUAUGUAACAUCAGGAACCAUAAUUGCAAGAAAAAUUGCUGAGAUAUAUAAAAUAGUCUUCCCAAAAUCUUAUUAUAACAUGGAUUCCUAUCACAUGCAGCUUUGAAAAUGAAAGAAACCUAGCCAAGGAGUUGGGUCAUAUAUGACAGUAUCCAAAACUUGAAAUAAAAAACCCAAAGGACAGUUCCAAUUGUUAGUAGAGAAGGUUGGGAAACGCAUGAUUUGUAGCGCACCAACAUUUCCAAGUGAUUCUUGUGGACUAUGUGAUGUUGGGAGCUGUGACUGCGAGGAAAAUUGUCUUCCAGACACGUUGGCUCAUGAUAAUAGGGAUUCCUAUCCCAUGCGCCUUGAAAAGGAAAGGAAUCCAGACGUUGGCUUCUAUCUGACAGUAUUUGGAGCUUAAAAACCAAAAGGUGGUUCCAAGUUUGCAUAAUUUGUAGUGCACCAACGUUUCCAAGUGAUUCUUGUGGACUAUGCGACGUUGGGAGCUGUGGUUGCGAGAAUUGUCUUCCCAAUGAACACAUUGAUUGUCUUAUGAUAACGGGGAUUCCUGUCCCAUGCGCCCCUGAAAACGAGAGACCGAAUCCAGAAGUCGGCUUCUAUCCGCCAUUAUUCCAAUGAGGCCCAGACUGGGAGGCACCUCCGUCCCGGCGUUUUUGUCAGCCAGGGAAUACGAGACUUAUGGGAUCCUGAACACGACACGGGACACUGCAGCCCCACAAACUCAAGAGUCCCUUUCGUCGGCUGUGGCCUUAGUGGUGGUGCUGGCUCUCAUCCUUUCCUUGGUCACCACCUCCCUGGUGACCUACUGCUUUCACAAAUGGAAACUGAGGAGCAAAAGGCUCCAGAAAGCCCAUGAGGAGUACCAGAGGGACCAUGAAAGCAGUGGGCUCCAGAGCAAGCCCAGACUUGUUUCCUAAGGACCAAACACACACACACACAAACAAACUGGAAGAACAAACCCAUCAACCUGAGCUUGCAGAUAAUAUUUACUGAGAAAAGGGUGAGAAUAUGGGGACUUGGAAUGUAUGAAGGGGCCACAAUAAUGGUUGCUUGAGCUGAUUGGUACCUGUCAUUCUGUGGUGUGCCUCUCUCUUACGUUAGAUGUAUUUAUUCAUGACGAUGUACCACAAUUGCAUUGCAAAGUUGCAUUUAGUGUCCUGCCAGGAUCCCUGGAUCGCAAUACUCCAAAUGAGCCGACCAAUAAUGUGCAAUAGGAUCACUCUGGUUUGAAAACAGCAGCCUUCUUUUUAGCUCAGAUGUGUCCCUUGGCAAUAAAAGGGCUCAAACUUCAGCUACCGCAAAAAAAGAACAGAAAUCCAUAUCAAUCUGCUAACUGAACAGCUAAAGGGUGCUGUCUGAAUUUCAGAAACGAAAAAGAUCAAAUGCUACAAAACUCCAGCCAAGAAAAUACCCUUGUUGAAAGCCUCAAGUUUCACUGAUUUGAAUGGCAAUUCCAUUUAAAACAGUGAAAAUACAUACAUGACAGAAAAUACAUACAUGUACAGGAAGUGCACUGAAACAUCACUGCUAGUGAUGAACUUGAGAUGAACUAACAUGGGAAUCUUACCAUAAGGUGUGAAAAAUUUGUAAAAAGAUGGGCCUUGGGUGAGGUGCAUUUUAAUUAACAAUUACCACUCCUUUUAAAAAUGGCUUUGUCUCAUUUGGAAGCACGAAACAGUGUUUCCCUUUCUGAUGAUUAUUUAGAUCAGAUUAGAUUAAAUAAGGAUGAAAGGACUAGCUAUGUCCAAAGAAUGCACCACCAAAUAGGGGACUGCCAAAGGGCUUAAAAUCCAUGAUAUGUCUCAUUGGGACAAGUGUUUAAAGGACAGUGUUCCAAGUCCAAUGGGUAGCGUUCUCCAAAAGGCAGCUUGUUCUAUAGUUACUUAAAGAUAAGUGUGUGCACCACAUGGGUUUGGGUUAGGGAUUAGGCUGCUGGACUGUCCUUUCCAGCAUCUCUUAUUAUAUGCUGACUAGGUCUGAUGGGACUUGCAGUUCAAUAUCAUGAGAGUGAUAUUCUCAACAAGGGCUUACAGUGCUGACAAUUACAUACAUAUUCAUGACUUAUGACAAUGAAAGUGCAUCCAGUAUUUAUACAAUAAUAGCCUCUUAUUCAUUCAAAACUUUCCCUGGAAAGAAAAAAACGUGGAAAAUAGCAAACUCUAUAUUGAAAUGAACAACUUCUGCUGGAAAUUACGAGAGUUGCACUGGAGGAAGGAGAACAUUCCCAGAGAGUUCUAUAUACUCCAGUGUAAAUUUAUGGUAAUGCCCAGCAGAAGGAUGCCAUAUGAAACCGUGAGGAGUACUCUUGUAGAAGAUACUAUCAGAAAUACAUUUCAACUUAUUGUCAAGGCAGCUUCUGUACAUGAUAUAAAGAAAGGAAUCAGUCUUGUUUGUUGCUAGGCCCCAAAUGUCUUGAAUUUAUCCAGAUCAGUAUCUGUCCAUCGAAAGGGGAAAACAAAGAUGCAAUUCAGGUGGACACAUUAAAAAUAACCCUUUGAACCCCAGCCUUUCUUUUCUUGGAUAUAGGGCCAGUUGGGACCAAAGAGAACAGAUUCCGACUUGCAAUCCAAAUACACAUUUCCAGCAGGGCAGAUGGUUGAGUCAAUCAAUUGCCUAGUCUAAUUGGGUUGAUUUAAAUGGGCAUUUUAAAGAAAAUUCAAUGCAGUAAGACCUUAGAAGAGGUUUUCUUUUCCCUCUUCUCUAUCAGACAAAGGGAUGCCUCUGCAAGAGGAUGCUUCAGAGAUACAAGGGAAAAUGGGACACGCGGGUGCCAUCUUUACAGUCCUAAGAACCUCACAAUUAUUUUCUGGGGGGAAAUGCAAGCUCUUCUACCUCCACAAUCCAUAAGGAUCUUUGUCUUGGUUCCUGGUUUGUGUUCCAUAUGGGAGAAAAGUAAUAUAUUACUUGCUUACUUAAGUAAUAUAUCUAUGGAGAAAAAAGGUAUAUUCCAUAAUUUACCUUCCCAAUCUAUUUUAAGAGCCUUUUUUUCAACAAGAAGUGAUCCAGAGGUUGCCUUUUAGGUCCCUUUACACUUAGGAAAUUGUCCAGAGGACAAAAACAUGGGGAAAUUGGUUCCCUUGGGACUGUAUAACUCAUUUUCCAAAACAUUUUGGAGUGUCCUUGAUCCCUUGGCAGUUCAAUGUGGUCCUUCAACCCUAAAAGUUGUCUGAUCUAAGAUGAGGCCCUGCUGAAGCAUGUACAUGCAUAAGGAGAAAUCUGUUUCUUCUUUUAUUUCAUACACAUAUUAAAGCAACUCAUAUGAUUCCUCAGCUAGCCUUUCUUUCGACAGGAUUAUAACCCUAAUUUCUGACCCAUUCAUGCUUCCUAUUCCUUUUUAGCAUGUUUCUAUUUUUGUCGUUUAUCACAUUUAUAUCGUAGAAAAGAAAGAGACUCGAAUGUGAGUCCAUGAAUCAUUUUUAAACUGAGUAUAGACUAUAACAUCAGAACAAUUAUUUGGAUUGGUUUGGUUUUUAAGUAGGUAGUGUGUAAAUAUAGAGAUAUAACCAUCUUGCUAAAGUAUAUAGCUUGCUUGCGAUUAUCAUUAGCCGAUGUAAUGCUUCUUUUUCAAUGAGCUGUGAAACUGUGGGAAUGCUGUACAUCUUUCUUCGGGAGGCAAAAUAAUAGUAAUAAUGCUUAAGUGUCCAGUUUUAAAUACUGUGGAAGGAAAUGGGGCGGGGAGGGGACUAUUUGAAGUAUUUAACAAGGUGCAUAAGCAUAUGAAAAUAUGGGUUUUCGUGGGACCUUCUCAGGAAGCCUGGAAGCAAUUGCCACAGAGGUAUUUUGGAAAAUGUAUUUAUGGAUCAUAUACAUGAUUCGAUGUGGGAACAAAACAAUACUAUUUUAUUACUGAAUAAAAGAAAUAAAGAAGCAGUGAACAUCAA